UAAAUUUAUAAUACAUCCAAUCAAAUAAUCAAAAGAAAAAAUUAAAAUAAGAAAAAGUUUAGGAUAGUAAACUUGAGCCCUUGAUUAAUCAGAUUUAAUCGUCAAGAUUAAAACAAAGAGAUACAAAUUGUCAAUCACUUGUUUGGUAAUUUGUGUUUCUUUGUUUUAAUCUAGACCAUUGAAUUAGAUUAAUCAAAGGCUCUUGUUUAUUAUCCUAAAUUUAUAAUACAUCCAAUCAAAUAAUCAAAAGAAAAAAUUAAAAUAGGAAAAAGUUUAGGAUAGUAAACUUGAGCCCUUGAUUAAUCAGAUUUAAUCGUCAAGAUUAAAACAAAGAGACACACAUUAUCAAUCACACACUUGACAAUGUGUGUUUCUUUGUUUUAAUUAUGACAAUAUUAUUUGAUCAAUCAAUGACUCUUCUUUACUAUCCUCAACUUAUUCCCUAAUCCAAUCAAAUAAUCAGAAGAUACAAAAAUCAAAAUAAGAAUAAGUUU
rnacentral:lncRNA from 1 species